AUAACAAUUAGGUCGAUAAAUAUUCUGUAGAAUAAAAGAAAAAGAGAUAAGAUAGGGAUAACGGAAGGCGGCACAAUUGAAAGAGACGACAUGAUUGUGCAGAGUGCAACAAGCGUACCGAUGAAUUUGAAUCUUCCUCACCUCUAUCAAGUCUCGGCAUAUCAGGUUCAAGGGUGAGCUAUUCAUUCGAGAUUGUAUUGAUAUGGGAGUCAAACGAAAGAGGAAGGCUCAAGUUCUUGAAUAAUUGUUCGACUAUUAGAGGC